rnacentral:misc_RNA from 1 species
GAUGAAGAACGUAGUGAAAUGCGAUAAGUAAUGUGAAUUGCAGAAUUCAGUGAAUCAUCGAAUCUUUGAACGCACCUUGCACCCUUUGGCAUUCCGAAGGGUAUGCUCGUUUGAGUGUCAUUGUACUCUCACUCUCCCGAUACUUUUGGAUCGGGAGUGGUGGACUUGGGUGCUGCCGCUUAACUGUGGCUCGCCUUAAAUGAAGUAGUGCAACUCUCGGUUGGACAUAGUACGGCGUGAUAAGUGUCUUCGCCGGCGCCUCAUUCGAGGGUGGCCGAUCGGGAGCUCUGUGCUUCAAACUGUCUUCGGACAACAUCUGACAACUUGACCUCUAAUCGAGUAGGACUACCCGCUGAACUUAAGCAUAUCAAUAAGCGGAGGA